GAUGAACGCUGGCGGCGUGCUCAACACAUGCAAGUCGAACGAGGUCCAACCUUCGGGUGAAGACCUAGUGGCGAACGGGUGAGUAACACGUGGGGAACCUGCCCUUCUCUCUGGGAUAACGUCGAGAAAUCGGUGCUAAUACCGGAUACUCCUUGCGGAUCGCAUGGUCUGCUCGGGAAAGCUCCGGCGGAGAAGGAUGGCCCCGCGGCCCAUUAGCUAGUUGGUGAGGUAACGGCCCACCAAGGCGACGAUGGGUAGCCGAGCUGAGAGGCUGAUCGGCCACACUGGGACUGAGACACGGCCCAGACUCCUACGGGAGGCAGCAGUGGGGAAUAUUGCACAAUGGGCGCAAGCCUGAUGCAGCGACGCCGCGUGAGGGAUGACGGCCUUCGGGUUGUAAACCUCUUUCACCCAUGACGAAGCGCAAGUGACGGUAGUGGGAGAAGAAGCACCGGCCAACUACGCGCCAGCAGCCGCCGUAA
rnacentral:rRNA from 1 species